UGGGGAAUAUUGCACAAUGGGCGCAAGCCUGAUGCAGCCAUGCCGCGUGUGUGAAGAAGGCCUUCGGGUUGUAAAGCACUUUCAGCGAGGAGGAGGUGGUGAGCUUAAUACGUUCAUCAAUUGACGUUACUCGCAGAAGAAGCACCGGCUAACUCCGUGCCAGCAGCCGCGGUAAUACGGAGGGUGCAAGCGUUAAUCGGAAUUACUGGGCGUAAAGCGCACGCAGGCGGUUUGUUAAGUCAGAUGUGAAAUCCCCGGGCUCAACCUGGGAACUGCAUUGAAACUGGCAAGCUAGAGUCUCGUAGAGGGGGGUAGAAUUCCAGGUGUAGCGGUGAAAUGCGUAGAGAUCUGGAGGAAUACCGGUGGCGAAGGCGGCCCCCUGGACGAAGACUGACGCUCAGGUGCGAAAGCGUGGGGAGCAAACAGAUUAGAUACCCUGGUAGUCACGCUGUAAACGAUGUCGAUUUUGGAGGUUGUGCCCUUGAGGCGUGGCUUCCGGAGCUAACGCGUUAAAUCGACCGCCUGGGGGAG
rnacentral:rRNA from 1 species